GCGUCUUGCCCUUCCUGGGCGUUUCCUCCCUAUAGACUUUAUGCCGCGCCUUCGGGCGCGGCUUUUUUUCGUCUGGU
rnacentral:sRNA from 1 species